rnacentral:tRNA from 2 species
GCACUGGUGGUUCAGUGGUAGAAUUCUCGCCUGCCACGCGGGAGGCCUUGGUUCGAUUCCCGGCCAGUGCA